UUGAAGAGUUUGAUCAUGGCUCAGAUUGAACGCUGGCGGCAGGCCUAACACAUGCAAGUCGAACGGUAACAGGAAACAGCUUGCUGUUUCGCUGACGAGUGGCGGACGGGUGAGUAAUGUCUGGGAAACUGCCUGAUGGAGGGGGAUAACUACUGGAAACGGUAGCUAAUACCGCAUAACGUCGCAAGACCAAAGAGGGGGACCUUAGGGCCUCUUGCCAUCGGAUGUGCCCAGAUGGGAUUAGCUAGUAGGUGGGGUAAAGGCUCACCUAGGCGACGAUCCCUAGCUGGUCUGAGAGGAUGACCAGCCACACUGGAACUGAGACACGGUCCAGACUCCUACGGGAGGCAGCAGUGGGGAAUAUUGCACAAUGGGCGCAAGCCUGAUGCAGCCAUGCCGCGUGUAUGAAGAAGGCCUUCGGGUUGUAAAGUACUUUCAGCGGGGAGGAAGGGAGUAAAGUUAAUACCUUUGCUCAUUGACGUUACCCGCAGAAGAAGCACCGGCUAACUCCGUGCCAGCAGCCGCGGUAAUACGGAGGGUGCAAGCGUUAAUCGGAAUUACUGGGCGUAAAGCGCACGCAGGCGGUUUGUUAAGUCAGAUGUGAAAUCCCCGGGCUCAACCUGGGAACUGCAUCUGAUACUGGCAAGCUUGAGUCUCGUAGAGGGGGUAGAAUUCCAGGUGUAGCGGUGAAAUGCGUAGAGAUCUGGAGGAAUACCGGUGGCGAAGGCGGCCCCCUGGACGAAGACUGACGCUCAGGUGCGAAAGCGUGGGGAGCAAACAGGAUUAGAUACCCUGGUAGUCCACGCCGUAAACGAUGUCGACUUGGAGGUUGUGCCCUUGAGGCGUGGCUUCCGGAGCUAACGCGUUAAGUCGACCGCCUGGGGAGUACGGCCGCAAGGUUAAAACUCAAAUGAAUUGACGGGGGCCCGCACAAGCGGUGGAGCAUGUGGUUUAAUUCGAUGCAACGCGAAGAACCUUACCUGGUCUUGACAUCCACGGAAGUUUUCAGAGAUGAGAAUGUGCCUUCGGGAACCGUGAGACAGGUGCUGCAUGGCUGUCGUCAGCUCGUGUUGUGAAAUGUUGGGUUAAGUCCCGCAACGAGCGCAACCCUUAUCCUUUGUUGCCAGCGGUCCGGCCGGGAACUCAAAGGAGACUGCCAGUGAUAAACUGGAGGAAGGUGGGGAUGACGUCAAGUCAUCAUGGCCCUUACGACCAGGGCUACACACGUGCUACAAUGGCGCAUACAAAGAGAAGCGACCUCGCGAGAGCAAGCGGACCUCAUAAAGUGCGUCGUAGUCCGGAUUGAGUCUGCAACUCGACUCCAUGAAGUCGGAAUCGCUAGUAAUCGUGGAUCAGAAUGCCACGGUGAAUACGUUCCCGGGCCUUGUACACACCGCCCGUCACACCAUGGGAGUGGGUUGCAAAAGAAGUAGGUAGCUUAACCUUCGGGAGGGCGCUUACCACUUUGUGAUUCAUGACUGGGGUGAAGUCGUAACAAGGUAACCGUAGGGGAACCUGCGGUUGGAUCACCUCCUU
rnacentral:rRNA from 1 species